rnacentral:rRNA from 1 species
UACAGAGGGUGCAAGCGUUAAUCGGAAUUACUGGGCGUAAAGCGCGCGUAGGCGGCUUGACAAGUCGAGUGUGAAAUCCCCGGGCUUAACCUGGGAGCUGCAUUCGAAACUGUCUUGCUAGAGUAUGGGAGAGGGAGGUGGAAUUUCAGGUGUAGCGGUGAAAUGCGUAGAUAUCUGAAGGAACAUCAGUGGCGAAGGCGGCCACCUGGACCGGUUCUGACGCUGAUGCGCGAAAGCGUGGGUAGCAAACAGG